rnacentral:rRNA from 1 species
AUACAAGUUAUAAUCUAGGAUUAAUUUUUAUAGAAUUAACUUUAUUUUUAGUAAUUUUUAAUAAAAAAAUAAUAGUAUAUUUAUAGUUAAUUGUACUGUGGAGGAGAUUUAUAUUAAAAUAUUAUAAGUAUAAUUUGUUUUUUGUACCUUUUGUAUCAGGGUUUAUUUAAAUUUAAUAAUUAUUAUUAGUUUUCCCGAAAGUAGAAGAGAUAUUUACAUUUGUUAUUUAAUGUGUUAAAUUUAUUGAUUAAAUGUAAAUAGGGGUUAUAUGCUAUUCAAUUCUAUAUAUCUGGUUUCUUAAUAAUUAAAUUUAAUUUAGGAUUAAAUUUUAAAUAUAUUAUAUACUUCAAUUUAUGAUAUAUAAUUUAAUCUAAAAUUUAUGGGGAUAAGCUUGUAAAUUUGUUUAUAGUUUUAAAUUUGUGUUUUAAGUUUUGUAGGAUUAAAAAUUUCUAUCAUUUAUUUUGUUAUAAUUAAACUUAAAUUAAAAUUAAUUUAAAUAAAACUUAAAUAAAUAUUAAGAAUAAUUAAGUAAUUAUUAUUUAAUUGUAAUAAUGAUAAAAUUAGUAGAUUAUUUUAAUUAAUAUAUAGUAAUUCGGCAAAAUUGUUCUUCACCUGUUUAACAAAAACAUGUCCUGAUGUUUUAUUAUAUUAGGUCUAACCUGCUCAAUGAUAAUUUAAAUAGCCGCAGUAUUUUGACUGUGCGAAGGUAGCAUAAUCAUUUGUCUUUUAAUUGAAGGCUUGUAUGAAAGGUUGGAUGAGGGAACAGCUUUCUUUAUAUUAAAUAUUGAAUUUAAUUUUUAGGUUAAAAAGCUUAAAUUUUUAAAAGGGACGAGAAGACCCUAUAGAAUUUUAUUAUUAUUAUAAUAUUUAUAUAUUGGUUAUUAUAAUAUUGAUAUUAUAUAUAUAAUUUUGUUGGGGUGAUAGUGAGAUUUUUUUAACUCUUAUAAUUUAUUUAUUGUUAAUUAUCAUAUUUAUGAUCCUAUUUUAUGGAUAAUUAGAUUAAAUUACCUUAGGGAUAACAGCGUAAUUUUUUUGGAGAGUUCAUAUCGAUAGAAGAGUUUGCGACCUCGAUGUUGGAUUAAAAUUAAAUUUAAGUGCAGAAGCUUAAUGUUUAGGUCUGUUCGACCUUUGAAUUUUUACAUGAUCUGAGUUCAGACCGGCGUGAGCCAGGUCGGUUUCUAUCUUUUUAUUUUUUAUAAUAAAUUAGUACGAAAGGACCAUUUAUUUCAAUGAUAUUGUUUUAUUUGAAUAU